CUUUUCCUGGGCUGUACAGAGACUCAUUACUCUUUUAUCCUCUACAGUCCUUUCUGUUCUCUUAGUUCUACAACCACCUCAUCUCACUGUGUUCUUGUAGCGUAACUCUGGGGCUCUUCCCCUUUUAGUUAAGAAAGAAGCAAGAUCUGGAGAGAAUAACAUGCUAAAUUAUGGAACUGGGACUUUACACAGCUGCCUCUGCUGUUUUCUGGAAGCUCUGAGAAGGUGGUGCCUACAGUUCAGAACUCCAAAAGCACCCAACACAUUGUUAUCACAAUAAUUUAUAACCAGGAUGCCUCCUCCACCUGAGAGUGAGCUGCCUUAGUCCUCAGGUUUAUGUCUCUAGCCCCAAACACAAUUCCAGGCACAAAAGAAGUGCUCAAUAAAUACUUGUGAA